CACACAUGCACACUCCACAUAUUUCCGCCACCUUCUCGAUAAUCUUACCUCGGCUGGAUGUUCACUGGGACUUCAGGCUUUGGAGGCUCCGCACAUAGCAUCGCAGGCUACGCAUUUUCCCCGAACGCUCUCGCCCGCAGAUGAUGAUCCAACCUUCAGAUGAUGAGUGAAGAGAAGGAGGAAAAACUUAAUCCUGAACCGCGAGCGGGACAAUAUCCGGGCGCAGGGGGGAACGCGGCGCCCGGUGUCGUGUGUUGUUCAGCGCGCGGGGGAAGUAGCCUCGGUGGUCGGUGGUGGUGCUGGGGCUGCUGGUAGUGGUGGUGGUGCUGGUGGUGGUGGUUAUCCUGCUGUUUACUUCAGAAACACUCCUCUUCUUUUCCUCCUGCCACAACUGAGAGAGAGACACUGAGUGAGAGUGUGUGAGGGAGAGAGAGAGAGCGCGCGCGCGCGACAGAGAGAGAGAGAGGUGUGUAUCAGUUUGCUUUUCCCUUUUUUCCUCCCUCUCGUUUUUGGAGUGAGGCGGAGCCUUUGCCCACUUCUCCCUCACACACACACACGUACACACACGCACACACACAUGUACACACACACACACACACACACUGGGGUGAGACACCUAUCGCAGUUGUUGCUGCAGACGGGACAGUGGGAAUAUUCCAGAGAGCAGAUAGACAUGGUGUUGUGACCAAUUUCCCUUUAGCCUUUUCUGUAACUUGAAGACUCUAUCAAAACUUUAUCUGAACACACAAUACAAACUGACACUUAUAAGUAAGCCUGCGCUUAUCAGAGCCGAAGAGAUGUAUUCUAGACUUCUACAUCUCUAGAAUUGUGUGAUUCUCCAUAUUAUAUGUUAGCAAAAAUGAAGAUGAAAAAGAUUAGCUUAACACAAUAAGAUACCUUUCAGGCAUGUUAUGAGUUAGUAAUGCCUCAGCAGUUUGGAGUUAGGAGGAAUUUUUACUAGCUAACGUUACAAUUUCAUAACCACCAAACCUGUUAUUUGCGUGGUAGGGUUAUUAGCAUUCUGUAAGUGUCAUUUCAUCUAGUGUCAGGUCGAACAUCAUCAAACCUGAUUGUUAUAUCAACAUAUCUAAUUGUCUUCAAAAUAAAAGUCCAUAGAUAAUAAUAAAUUAGACUUUUAUGUAAACUUAUAUGUUUACAUACAUUUUUACAUAUGACGUUUUAUGUAAACUACAUAUGUAAAUGUGCUUAAACACUGGAGGUUAUGUUUUCACUUUGGCUCUCUGCUUGAAUGUAAUAACAGCUGGUAAACACACCUCAAGGACCUCCUCUAAUAAAUUGUUAAACUAAUAAUGGAUUUAGUCUAUUUUUUACACAGAUUAUUAGUUAUUAGGACCAUUGGGGAAACAACAUUUACACAAACUACUUAAAUGAAAAUACUAACAAAAAUAUUUGUUGUACAGAUUUAGUGUUUGGUUUAAAGGGAGUAUGGUUGUGUUUAAUGGACUUUAGUUUCAACACUCAACUGCAUGUUGACUCAGGGCAUUUUUUUUCCCUCCACAUGCAGGUGCAGAUAGCAGCGACUGCAGCUGUGCCUUGAUGUCAUGCUUAAAACAUGCAAUCUACUCCCCUCCCUUACGUUUAGUUCCAGUCUCAGUGCAAAACCUCUCAACUCCAGACAUCAAAGAGACACAUGCACCUGCGAAUAAAUCACAGCAAAUGCUGAACCAUCCAACAGCGGUCACCUGACCGCCUCGGCGACACCAUCUAGUGCCUCAGGCUGCACCAGACUGAACAAAGACAUUGCUGAGGAACUGAGGGCCGACUGCUUCUGUGGGGUCUCUUCCAGGUCAUGUCGUCCAAACCACAGGAAGCGCUGCCCUGCCCGUGCUGAAGCUGCCUCUGCAGCCUUCUGCUUGUGGUUGCGGGUGAACCGGCUGUAGCCCGCUGAAAAAGCAGCCGUCGGCUUCACCUUGAAGUCUGUCUGGUAGGCUGAGACGUUCCCUCCAGUCUCUGACGUGUCUCUGUCAGCUCCAUCGGGGCAGAGGCUGAAGUGAGAGAUUUGCUGCUUGCGUUCGACAGGACACUUUCUCAGUCCUACACCCUGAAGUGCACCAACAUGACACGGAGGCAGAGAACAAAUGUUUUCCUUUCAAGCUGUGAUAUGGUAACAUUUUGUUAUGUUCUGUAUUUCUCCUCAUACUCACAUGAGUGAAGACAGCAAUGUUAUCUUUUAAGGAAUGCUUGUUGUCAUGGUCUGAGAGUGGAUACUCCCUGGAUUCCUGUGAAGAAACACAUGAAGAAAAAACUCAGACAGUAAAACAACUGAACCCAGACAAACUGAGGAGGCAGUUUUUCUAAAUUUCUUUGAAUUGAAGUGCAAGGGCCAUGACAGAAAUGUGUAUAAAAGAACCAGUGAUACAAAAUCAUCUACUGCAGAUACACACCUGUUGACUUUUCCAUUUAGGAUGGCGUUCAAAGCUCAAAGCCUGAGGCAACGAGGAUUCAACCUGACAAAGCAUGAUCCCGGUGCUUGUACAAGUCCUGCGGUCUCGCCUCUCCUCUCCUUUACUCGCUGGUAAAACUGUGUGAGCAAACUGAGAACAAUGAAAAAGAAAAGCUGCUUAUUUGUUCAAGUUUAAACUUGAUGUUGUGAUUAAAAUAAAGAAUUCCUUACCC